AUUUUACUGAAUAAAUUUUUUUUAACUCAAUAUAACCCGUUUAUAAAUAUCUACUCUUCCCUAAAAUUUUAAAACUGAGACCAAUCCAACACAACCAAUCCAUUUCAAAAUAUUUUCAAGAUAGAUUUACUGUAUUCAUAAGAUAAUCUUAUCACAUACCAAAACCAAAAUUUGUUAGCCAUAUUAAUGGCUAACCAUACAUUCAUUCCAUAUUAACAUCUACUUUACUAGCUUAUACAUGCCAUUGAUUUCCAAAAUAAAGUUUCUUUAUGUACCGAGAUCUUGAGGUUGAUGGUGUGAUGUGUCUCUGACCAAAUCCGACCUCCGAGCUCUUAACUCUACAAACAGGUGAAAAAGAAACAGGGUAAGCACUUUGUGCUUAGUAAGCUCAUGUAACAGGAAUUAUACUUACCUAAUAUUUUUUUAUACAAUGCAAUAAACAUUCAUACAUCCAUUCAAUACAUUAUUCCCCUAUCAUGCACAAACUCAACAUUCAAAUUAGUCCAAUAAUUUCCACGUAUCAAUAAUAUAUAUCAUGAUUGAUGAGCUCAUCAAUUCCAUGAUUUUCAUUUCCUUGUUAUUUUUCCAUAUUUAUCCCGUUGAACUACUUGGAAUUUCGAUGGAUUUUCAGGGGUACACCUAAGUGUACAAAUUCCGGGUCCGUCAAUUCAUAUUCAUGUGCGCACAUUUCCAUUUCAGAGAGCACACUCCCGCGAACCUCAUCCUUACAGCGGGAUUACCAGUCCAGGCUAAAUCCCCUGUAAUAUAAACUCAUAGAGUAUUGUCGGGAUUACCAGUCCAGGCUAAAUCCCCUGCAACGACAAUUACUCUAAUGAGCUUGGAUCUGAAUUACCAGUCCAGGCUAAAUUCAGACCCUAAUUCAGAUUAUCCAUCUGUGAUAAAUCCAUUUACCACAUAUUCUUCGGGAGGGCUAUAUCAGAAUAGGAUCACCCGUCUGGGCUAGAUCCUUUUUACCGUCAAUUCCUUUUCAGGAUCCAUCGAAUUUUCCUUUCAUUCAACCGAGAUUUAUUUCCUCUUUUCAUCAAGAAUAUCAAUACUUCAUCAAUUAUCAUACAAUAAACAUCCAAAUCAUAUUCACAUCAAUAACAAACAUUUCAAGCAUUUAGGAAUAUAAUUCAAGUUACACGAACUUACCUCGAUAAUUGUUCGUAAACAAAAAAUCUACUAAUCCCGAACUUUUUCUUUUCCUCGAUCUAGCUUCGUAUUUGAACUUUCUGGAUCCAAAUAAAUAAAUUUAAUCAUUAAUCUAAUACAUUUCAUGUUCAUGUGUAAGAUUCUCUAUAAUUCCAUUAUUAUUUAUAGUGCAUUCAAAGCUGUCUCACUGAGUCACAGUCACUAAAUUAUUUAUAUAUUGAGCUACAGAACUCCAAAUCAAGAUCCGUUAAUUUUCCAUGAAACUAGACUCAUAUAUCUUCUUACCAUAAAAUUUUCAGAAUUUUUGGUGUAGCCAAUAAGUACAGUUUAUUCUUUAAAUUUCCCCUGUUUCACUAUUUGACAGUUCCGACCCCUCUUCACUAAAAAUUAAUUAUCUCAUUGUACAGAAUUUAUAUGAUGUUUUUGUUUGUUUCAUCUGAAAAUAUACUCAUUAAGUACUCUAAGCAUAUAAAUUAUAACUCAUAAUUAUUUUUGUACAAUUUUUAAUGAUUUUCCAAAGUCAGAACAGGGGAACCCGAAUUCAUUCUAACCUUGUCUCACAAAACCUAUUAUAUCUCAUGAUUUACAAUUCUAUUGAUUAAACCGUUUCUUCCAUGAGAAACUAGACUCAAUAAGAUUUAAUUUCAUAUUUUAUUCAUCCUCUAAUUUAAUCUCUACAAUUUUUGGUGAUUUUCCAAAGUUAGACUACUGCUGCUGUCCAAAACUGUUUUUGUGCAUGAUGUUAAUUACUAUUUUUCCCUAAACUUUCAAUAAAUGAUAAUUUUAUCCCUACUCAAUUAACCUUUCAAUUGAGCUGAUUUUUCUCAAUUAACACUAUAUUCCAUCACUUUAAACUACUUUAUAACCUUUGGAAAUCAGAAUUUUAGCACUAGACUUUAAUUCCAAACCUUUUCACAAUUAGGUCCUAUAAAUCAAUUUCUAUUGAAAUUACCUAAUAAAAUCAUUUCAUAAACAAAUUAAAGCUUCAAUUUCAUGCUAUUUCAUCAUGAAAUUACAGCACUCAACCAUAGUGACUUUCAAUUUCAUCCAUGAAAUCAAAAACUAAUGAAUUUAGUAAUAAGACCUAGUUGUAAAAGUCUUAGAAACACAAAAAUUAUAAGAAAAAGGCAAUGAUUAACUCACUUGGUGCAAAAAUUAUGAAAAAAUAGCUUGAAGAAACCCUUAGGAUGUUUUUGGCUGAUGAGAGUGCAGAAAAUAU
rnacentral:lncRNA from 1 species